rnacentral:rRNA from 1 species
GACGAACGCUGGCGGCGUGCUUAACACAUGCAAGUCGAACGGAAAGGCCCUGCUUUUGUGGGGUGCUCGAGUGGCGAACGGGUGAGUAACACGUGAGUAACCUGCCCUUGACUUUGGGAUAACUUCAGGAAACUGGGGCUAAUACCGGAUAGGAGCUCCUGCUGCAUGGUGGGGGUUGGAAAGUUUCGGCGGUUGGGGGUGGACUCGCGGCUUAUCAGCUUGUUGGUGGGGUAGUGGCUUACCAAGGCUUUGACGGGUAGCCGGCCUGAGAGGGUGACCGGCCACAUUGGGACUGAGAUACGGCCCAGACUCCUACGGGAGGCAGCAGUGGGGAAUAUUGCACAAUGGGCGGAAGCCUGAUGUAGCAACGCCGCGUGCGGGAUGACGGCCUUCGGGUUGUAAACCGCUUUCGCCUGUGACGAAGCGUGAGUGACGGUAAUGGGUAAAGAAGCACCGGCUAACUACGUG